rnacentral:rRNA from 1 species
AUGGGGCUUCGGCCCUGAGUAAAGUGGCGCACGGGUGAGUAACGCGUGGAUAAUCUGCCCUGUGAUCUGGGAUAACACUUCGAAAGGGGUGCUAAUACCGGAUAAGACCACGGAGUCUUAUGACUCUGCGGUAAAAGGUGGGGACCUUCGGGCCUACCGUCGUCGGAUGAGUCCGCGUACCAUUAGCUAGUUGGUAGGGUAAGAGCCUACCAAGGCAACGAUGGUUAGCUGGUCUGAAAGGAUGAUCACCCACACUGGAACUGAGACACGGUCCACACUCCUACGGGAGGCAGCAGUGGGGAAUUUUGCGCAAUGGGGGAAACCCUGACGCACCAACGCCGCGUGAGUGAUGAAGGCCUUCGGGUCGUAAAGCUCUGUCAGAAGGGAAAAAGUGUGCGGGUGCUAAUAUCAUCUGCGCUUGACGGUACCCUCAAAGGAAGCACCGGCUAACUCCGUGCCAGCAGCCGGGGG